rnacentral:lncRNA from 1 species
ACUGUUGGGCGCGACGUAGCGUUGCCCCUGUGGUAACUGAGAUGCUAACAGAGGGGUGAGUAUGGAAUCCACGUAUGCAGUCAACCCCUGCAAAGCUUUCAACAGUUCUCCUCCCAUUUUGGUGAACAGUGCAGAUUUGUGAUCAUUGAAGACUGUAAGGAGUACUUGCCAGUCUCCUGGCGCAAUGUGAUGAAAUGUCAGGUCCCUCAGGUUGGUGAGGAUCUUGUCCCAGGUGGCCUUAAUCUUGAGAUCAAUAGCACGUUCAAUCUCUGCAGUGGAUGGUACAGGUGUGGUUUCUGUCUCCAUUUCCUGCUCCUUGAUGAGGUCAUCUCUGAAAUGUUUGAGCUGGCGCGUAGCAUAUGACCUUGCUGUUUUGGUUGGAGCUUUAUCCAGGAACAGAUUGAGGUCGUCAAUAGAGGCCGGAGUAAAGUCAGCCACGUCCUGCUUCCAGGCUUCUAGUUGUUUGUCAGUUUUGAUUUUUGUGAGGUCACGGACCUCGGAUGUGAUAAUCAAGUAUAUUUUGGUUUUAAAUGAUUUAUCAAAUUUGUAUUGUCUGAUCGAUGAUUUGAUAUACUUGAAGGUUGUGAGGCCCUUUUCCACACACUCCAUAUCAUCACAGUCUACAAGUUCUUCUUGAACGGCCAUGAUGGAUUCCAUGGUUUUUAUCAGGUCUUCUCGUCCAGGGAUGUCAGCUAGUCCCAUCAGACUGUUUAGGGAGUUGAAGAAAGUGUUUGAGAGAUGGUUGUGAGAUCUGGCAUGGAUGCUGCUCAGUGCUUCGUUGAUUAAGGAGUUGGUGAUUUGGAUCAGAGACAGAUUCAUAGCUGCGAGUGAGAGCUGCCCCUGUUCUGUUUUUGUGGCAGCUUGCAGCUGGGGGAUUACUUCUGGUCGUUUAAGUGGCUGGAUGUUUUCUGGAAGAUGUCCAGGACAUGCACUGGUUCCCUGAAUGCACGCUCGGGCCAUGUCUCAUCAAUAAUCUUUGACAGCUCUCUGCCAAUGUAAGACAAUUGUUGUUGACUACUGUCAAUUUCUGGAGUUCUGAUUUCUGCCCUCUCCACACAGGCGUUGAUGACUGUGAGCAAGCUGCUUGGACCACGCCAUUAGAUAAUUCAGAACAUUCAAGGCCUCGGUGGGAGUGUAGUCGCUGUCUGAAACCACUCCAAUCUCUAGUACCUGUUGGAGGACAUUCUUGAGCUGAUGGAGAGCCCUGGUCAGGCGAUAUGAUUCUCCAGUAUCAGUGUCUACUAAUGCGGGGAAUGAUGGCACAUGGCCAGGCAGAGUCAGGGAAUUUAAAAGCUGGUCCACGGCAGCCAGGUUGGGGAGGGUGACGCUUGGGAGGGACGUCCCAGACCUGUCUGGCUCGGCCUCCCUGUCGCCCUCGCUCUCGUCCUCCAUAUCAUCGUCCCCAGUAAGAUCGAUGACGUCAUCGUCCAUCGUUAAGUCAAUUAUGUCUGGAGAGGGUAGAGGGUGUGUCAUUUUCUCUGGAGGGGUGCGCCCAGAUUCUUUCCUCUUUUUGUUGGCAUCAGUCCACUCCUCCCCACAGCUCAUAGGAUACCUCUUCCUCUUUGCCUUUGACAUGUAUUUCAAGAGGGAGCCCACUUCUGGGUCAGGCGACGAUGACGCCUGUGGUGACGAACAGAAACUCUGGUUGGUGGUUGGUAGGUCAUAUUCUUCCAAGAUUAUUUUUGAACCAUGUAAAUCAGAAAAGGAGAUGACUUUAUAGUGAGACAUGAUGUAAUUUUUGGGAGAAAUGUGUCCUGGUACAAAAUAUAGGAAGCACGCAGUAUAUUCGCGGGACACGCCCCCGACAUAUUUUAUCAGAGCAUCUGGAUCAGACGUGCUGAGUACGUGGGCUGGACUCUCAGGAAUGUCCUUUAGACAGUGUGGAUCAAACAUGGUGUACCUGCCCCCCUGGAUGAUUAUGGCCCCAGAUUUUUGUCCACAGAUGUACAAAAUAUACUGGAUAGUGUUUGAAUAAUUGGCCGUCAGCAGGUCACGCAGGGACGUGAUGCAGGAGUCAGAAAUGUCAGCUGGCAUGCCAAGCAGGCCAAACAUUUCAGCAGAGGUAUAGAUGAACCCAGACCACUUUCUUGUUUGGACAUAGCAAGGCACGUGGUCCAGCUGGGCAUAUUGGCCAGGAGAUAAGAGGCCCAAUUUUCUCAGAUUGCUGUCUAACUCUGCCCCAAACUUUAAAACUUUAUUAAGGUCGUGGGUCUCGGUUAUGGGGGCUUCAUUGUUGAAGUAGGAAGACAUCAGGUAUAUGAUACAGUUGCUAAGACACUGAGCCCCUGCAUUUUCUCCAAAUUUACAAUCUGCCUGAUUGGUUGAGGCUGUACCUUCGAUGCGAAACCCAGCCAAAGAAGCAGGCAGGGCCAUUAUGAUAGCAGUUUUAUUAUGUCAUGAAUUUUUACAAUAGUGUAGGGGCACUCUGCGUGCUCGGCGGUGUAGGUUUGUUGUGUAAAUAUUUGCCAGUUAACAUCCAGGGGUAUUCUGUCAUAAGUGCUGGAAUAUUUUUUCAGUUGGGGUGGAUGUUUCUCACCACGGGCAGCGUUUUGGCUAAAAAUCUGGGGGUAGGUAGAAUAUAGCAUGGUUAGGUCUUCAUCUGUGGGGUUUCCCCCAGCCUGGGUCAUUGACGUGUCUGUGGGUGGAGCCAUCAGAUUUACUGGAAUUUCUUUAAGAUUUUUGAUAAUUUCCACAUUUCCAGCCGAUGCCGCCUUUAAGAUUGUGGGGGUAAUGAUUUCCUGGGAAAACAGGUCAUGAAACCUUUUUCUUAAGCAACUUGAACAUCCUUUCGAGAGAAGGGAUAGUCCAGAGCUAAUUCUGGAGAGUAUGCCACUGAAGGACUGUUUGAGUUGGUUCCAAGGUUCGGUGUCAAAUUCUAUCCCCAACUCAUGCUGUUUAUAUGCCUCUAGGUCUUGAAGAAGUGAGAGCACCGUGCUGUAUUCCCCCCUGAGUUCACCCUCCAGAUCUGUUAUCUCCAUCAGGAGCUGACUGUGAUCCUUUUCCACCUGGCUAAUCAGACUCUUGAGGGUCUCCAAGUGAACUUCCAGAAUCUGUCCACUGGAGGACAGUAUGGUGAAUUGAUGGGUUAGGGGGUGAUAGUUAUAUUUGGUGUGACAUAAAAUUGAGCCCAGACGUAAGAUGUUUCUGCCCCUCAACAAAAGGUGUUCGACCUUGGGGAUGAUGGCCGUGAUAUAAUCUACAGAAUUGAUAUAGGAUGCGCCAGUGUCUAGUACAAAUAAGUAGAGGAUUAGAUCCUGGGGUAUAGAAAAUGUCUGGUUAAUUUUGUUGAUCUUUUUCUUUAGAUCCAGGGCAUGGUCCAAGAGAUUCUUCAUGGCAGAAGGUUUAUUGGUCCCGUUGAUGAUGUCGAGCAGCUCAAAGUAGAACAUGCCCAGCGGUCUGCGGAUCUCCUGCAGCUGGGGCGUGUCGGUGAUAGCGAAGCUCAGCAGCCAUCUUAUUUGGAAGAGGGCCCGGUUUCUUGACGUCUUUCUGGAAAAUAUCCCCUGUAUGGUGGGACCAACGAUGUGUCUGAUGAAGUACUUGUAAAACAUUUUAUGGGAGACCAUGGCAGGCUCGUAGGAUAAGUCCCCGACAGGCAUUCUUUUACAGUAGGCCGCGACCCUCUCUUCGGAAACCUGGUGCUCGCAAGAGGGUUCCAUCAGUGGAUUCUGGGUGAUGAGGACAAUGCCCCAAUUCCUGUUUACCCAUGAAAAAAAUAAAGUUCUCAUGAUAUCUGA